UGGGGAAUAUUUCACAAUGGAGGGAACUCUGAUGCAGCGACGCCGCGUGAGUGAUGAAGGAAUUCGUUUCGUAAAACUCUGUUCUAUGGGAAGAAAAGGACUGUACCAUAGGAGAAAGCUCCGGCUAAAUACGUGCCAGCAGCCGCGGUAAUACGUAUGGAGCGAGCGUUGUCCGGAAUUAUUGGGCGUAAAGGGUGCGCAGGCGGCUUUACAAGUUGGAUGUGAAAUAUUGUGGCUCAACCACAAACGUGCAUCCAAAACUGCAAAGCUUGAGUUAAGGAGAGGUAAGUGGAAUUCCUGGGGUAGCGGUAGAAUGCGUAGAUAUCAGGGGGAAUACCGGUGGCGAGGGCGACUUACUGGACUUAAACUGACGCUCAGGGACGAAAGCGUGGGGAGCAAACAGG
rnacentral:rRNA from 1 species